CACAUACCCGGAAUCUUUAUUUUCAGUCGUCAGCCUGUUUGAUUCGCACCGCUCUCCUUCGAUUGAUUUCAGCUUCUAGCUCUCAUAUGCAACAUAUCAAUGAUCCACAAAGAAUUAUGUCCUCACACAUUGAGUAGAAUAAUGCAUCAGAGAACUUACCGUCGAUUUUCCCAUGGUAUUUUCUGCAAUAGUGUUUUGUAUUUUUCGAAGUUUUGUUGAUAUUCUAGAAGAGAGAACACCUCGUAGUGUUUCUCAAAAUCACUGUUCUGGUUGUCGUGCGUGAAUAUCUCGCGGAUGAAACAUGGACAACCCGGCUGACCCAUACCCGAAAACUUCAUCGCCCAUAUGUUUUGCAUCGCUCUCGUUUGAUCUAACUAAACUCCUAGCAUAACCCACGGAAAAAGUUUCGAUUUCACAUGUGAUAGAAUCACAUAUAAUGUAUCGAACAUUUGACCGUUAAAUUUUUCCAAGUUACUCCUCCGAUAGUGGCCAAUAUUUUUCAUAUUAUUCCUAAUAUCCUAGUAAAAGAAAUAAUUCGUAUGGAGCAUUGGUCAUACCCCAGAAGAAGAAACAACUCGUAUUGUUCCUUAAAAUUACUUCUAUCGGUACUGCAAAUAAAUAGUGAUCGUUGCAAUCAUUGCAUCGCCGAUCGGAACAGAUCGAAAGCAGCAGCGCAUUCAGAGCUGUCAAACAGUUAAACACAGCGAGUAGACCGCGCGAGCAGACGACUCAGCGAUCAUGGAGCGCAGGCUAUAGAGGAUUUGAGAAAGGAAGCAGCUUGUUCGCGACAAUCGAGGCGACUCGGCGACAGUAGAAGCUUGUCCGAUUUGACUCGACGCGCUUGGCCGCUAGGAGGGUCAAGAUCAAACACAUUAGGCGUACAUAGCUGUAAAUUAUUGUUGACAAGCUGUGUCAUCCGAACAAGUCAGUAAUAGAUUGAUGGUUGUCUAUGGUCGGCUUUUCCCCCUAAUUCAGUGGCUCAUUCGUAUAACAUAAACGUCCAUGAUGAAUUCCAAGCAAAUAUUGUUGUUCUCUACGUAUAAAAUGGACCAAACAACGUUCUUUCAAUGCAGAACAAUUCUCGAAUCACUUGGCCUUCAGAGGGAUUUUUCCAGUGACCAUCCUUUAAUUAGAAGUUUUUCACAACGGUAUAUCCAUGUAGCUAUGCUUGUGAAAAUCCUUGUAGACAGUUGUUUUGGAUUCCUGUUCUCAAACAAGCGAUUGAGGCAACAAAGCAAGUGUGAGUAUAGACACGGGUUAUAAACAUUCUGACGAACAAUCAAAUUAAAAUGCUCAAUGAUUAUGUUUGUAAUUGCUUGUAUAGCCAUAGAGAUUAUUUUUUAUUCCUCGUUUUUUACUUACAAUUUUUUGCGUUUAGGGUGAAUGUAAGAAAUAGCUCAAACUAAAAAAGUUCGACAAACACAGGUUGUUUUAUUGCACUACAUCCUGUUGGAGUAAUAAUUCAGAAAAAGCAUGCCCUCAUAAAAUUUGCAAGUGUGACACUAAACUGUGAAUGAAUAUUUCUCUCAGAAUCGUUGUAGAAGAAUGGAGCCUCAAUUCACAGCAAAAUUCUCCGUUAGUUAUGUUACGAUACUCAAUUGAAAAACGAAUUUGCCACAGACCAUAACUGUAGUGAUAGG